GCUGUCCUUAUCUUCAGCGGGAGCCCGCGCCCAGUGUCUGUGUCAGCUCGUCCUCUGCUUUGUCCUGCAGCGGCUCACUGCCCUCCUACUGUCCACUAUGGCCCUGCUGCACUCCCGCCGCGUCCUCUCCGGCAUCGCCGCAGCAGCCUUCCACCUGGGCCUCGCCGCGGCCUCUGCCAGAGCCAGUUCAGAGAUCUGCUGGGGGAUGGUGUGACCCCAAACAAGCCAAUUUCCUCUGUGAAGGGGGUGAGAAGAAGGGAGCAUGUGACUUGACCAAGCCAAUCAGCAAAUGACCUUCCCUCCUAAGAGGAGUUGAUUUGUUCAGGAGGAGGCAUGUGACAAAAGCUGGGCCACUCACAGCCCAUCUAAGGACUUCACUGAGAUGCUGACAAAAGCAGCCAUUUGUGCCACAGGGGGAAAGCCAGCCUGAGAUGAAACUGUCUCACGAAGAAAUAGAGAUGAAUGACUUGUAGAGAACUGGAAAGAGAAACAGAAUGAAACUUGCAGAGAAAAUAUUGCAAGUAAAUUUUGAACCUCUGGAUCGAACCAUGCCUGAGUCCCUCCUGGCUCUGACUUUU
ensembl:lincRNA